rnacentral:lncRNA from 1 species
UUACAUGUUUACCUUGAAUAUUAUUAUUAUUAUCUUUUGACACUUUAUUCAAGGUAUAAUAUUCCAAGGGGACAAAAUACUAUUCAUGGUUGAAUUAUUCAAAGAUAAGAUUCUCCAACAAACUCUAUCCAAGAAAAGCACUAUUCAAGAUAAGAUCAAAAACAAAGCUUGGAUUUUUGUGAGAAAUCAAGGAGCCAUCCAUUGAAGAUCCAAGGGUGGACAUUGAGUGUCCAAGGCUAUAAAUAGAAGGGUAAACCCCUCAUUUUCACUCACCACACUAUAAGCAAACUCAAGAGCUUUCAUUCCACACUUGCCCACAUGUUUUUGCCUCCAAGCUUCCAAGCUUUCAAGUGCUCAAGUGUCCUAGCUUUCCAAAGUUUCAAAAGCUCUCCAACUUCUUCUUCUAAUCUUCUUGUUCAUCUUUACAAGUAAGAAGUGUUGUUUGCUUUAAUAUUUCACUCCUAUAAUCACCUCUUGUGUGUGUCCACUUUGGUUGAGAGGGUUGUCUCAAUAGUAUCAAAGUGUGAGAGAAGGUUUUCGAGCUCAACCAUAAAGCUCUAGUUUGGUUUUAUAGAGUUUCCGGGAAAACUCUUACGUCGAAUCUACCUUGAAAGAUUUCUAGGUUUUUAAGAGUUCCUUGAUACUCUAAGGUACUAACUUACCCGUAAAAGUUAGAGGUUCUUAAGAGUGCUCUCGAUACUCUAAGGUGUGAGUCUACCCGUAAAAGACUGGUCCCUAAGCGAAGUAGCUUUAAAGCUUAGAGAGGUUUUUAAGAGUUCCUUGAUACUCUAAGGUACUAACUUACCCGCAAAUGUUAGAGGUUCUUAAGAGUGCCCUUGAUACUCUAAGGUGUGAGUCUACCCGUAAAAGACUGGUUCCUAAGCGAAGUAGUCUUAAAGCUUAGAGAGGUUCUUAAGAGUUUCCUUGAUACUCUAUGGUUUUGCCAUAACCUUUAGGCGAGUGAAUUCCGACAGUUGGUCGGGACUGGAUUAGCCUUUGUUUGGGUAAACCAGUAUAAAUCUCUUGUGUUGUUCUUUGUUAACUUUAAUUUUUAUCUUUCAUCUAAAAACAACUAAACAACACUUAAUUGAAAAGGAUCCCUCUUUCAGUUAUCUGGUCAAAUACAGAGGUUGACUACUUUACGCAGAUCCCUCAUCCAGUUAUCUGUUCAACUAUCUGAGGUUAUAUUCAUUGCUUUAAAUCUUUAUUCAUAUAUUUGUUCAAGCAUUUACUUAUCAUAUAUAUAUCCAGUUAUCUGGUCGUAUCUUGCUUAUCAAAUAUAUAUCCAGUUAUCUGGUCAUUUACUCUAUAAUAUAACUUGUGUUUAUAAUAUAACUUAGUAUUCAUAUACUAUAGUUGUUUAUAAAACACUAUUUGAAAAGUUGACUACGUAUUCAUAUACUGUAGUAAACUUCAAGAGUAAAAGAAAAGUCCAAUAUAUAUAAUAUUAUAAGAUAUAAUAUUAUAUUCUUUAAAAUCAUAUAAUAGUAUUAUAUUGCUAACAAUAUUAUACUAUUAUUAUUAUACAACCAUUUGUGUACUUAAGUGUGUGCAGGUAAUUCCACUAUUAAUCUGCAUAAAUCGAAAAAAGGCUAUUAUCCUCCCUAAUAGCCUCGGAUCUCGAUCCAACAAGUGGUAUCAGAGCCAAGUACCGUUGAAGUUUGACUAACAUCUUACAACAACAACUAUGACACCAAUUGGUGAAUUCAACACUAGUCUUGCGUCAAACAAACCUCCUAGGUUCGAUGGAGUAAAGUAUGACUUCUGAAAGAACAAGAUGAAGUUAUACUUGAAGUCAAUCAACAAUGGAGUAUGGAAUAUCAUAUUAGAGGAUUAUAAAAUUUCAACAAGCAAUGAAGAGACUUGGGGAGAAAUGGACAUCCUCAAGGAAAACAACAACUCAAGAGCAUUGAAUGCUCUAUAUGGAGUACUCAAUGAAUCUGAGUACAGCAGAAUUCGAUGCUUGGAUACAGCUUAAAAGGUAUGAAAAGCAUUGGAGGAUCGACAUGAAGGAACCUCCCAUGUUAAAGAAAACAAGCUGUUACAUGCUACCUCUCAGUUCGAAAGAUUCUCUAUGAAGGAAGACGAGACUAUCGCAGAGAUGAACAUUAGACUAUCACAAAUAGUUAAUGAUCUGGCUGGACUAGGAGAUCCAGUAAUUGAGAAGAAGCAAGUAAGCAAAAUUCUGAGGAGCCUUCCAAACAAGUACUACUCCAAAAGGAAUGCUAUCCAAGAGGCUCGUGAUCUCAACAAACUUACAAUUGUGGAACUCUGUGGAAAUCUGAUGGCCUAUGAAGAAGAAAGAUUCAUCUCUAGAGCUAAAGAAGAGAAAAAGGAUAUUGCUCUUAAAAGUCAAUCUGACAAUGAAACAUCAGAAGAUGAUCUAGCAAUGAUCACCAAUCAUCUGAGAAGAUAUCUCAAAAAGAGGAAAGAGAAGAAAGACUCAAGGUCAAGUCAUCCGAAGUUCGACAGAAGAAUGAGCAAGGAGUCAAAAUAACCAAUCUGUUAUCUAUGCGACAAGUCUGGAUACAUCAAACCAGAAUGUCCUCUGCUAAAGAAAGAAAGAGCAAAUCAGGCACAAUGGACAAACUCCGACUCGGAUCAAGAAGAUUGUCACAUGGCUCAUGAAAGCAACUCUGAAGUAAGUUUUGCAAAUACUAGAUUUAAUUCUUUAGAAGAAGCAUAUCUAGAAUUAAUGAAAAAAUAUAAAAAUGAGAAAAAAUUAACUAAGUCAUUAAAACUAGAAUGCAUGAAUAAAUCACAUAUAGAUCAAUCUAUUGAAUUAGAAGAAUCACAAAAAGAAUGCAUGCAAUUGAAAAAAAGAAAUGUAAAACUCACAAGUAAAUUAAACAAAGAUGAAGAAAAAAUUAAGAUACUUAAGAGUCAAAACUUUGAAUUGCUUAACAUUUUAGAAUCUGAAGAAAAUCAACCUAAGAAAAUAGAUGAUGAUAAGAUUGAAUUGUUAGAAUUAAAAAUAGAUAAUUUUGAAGAAGAUAUUAUGUUAAAAGAAACAAUCAUGCUCAAAACAGAAAUAGAAUCUAAGGAUAAAAUCUCAUGGAAUAAAACAUGAAUUUGCUUUUCCCCAAGCACCCCCUCAGAAUGGAGUUGUUGAAAGAAAAAACAGAACUCUACAAGAGAUGAGUAGAUCCAUAUUACAAGAACAUGAUUCACCACAGUAUCUCUGGGCAGAAGCUGUUAACACAGCCUGUUAUAUAUUAAACAAGGUGAUUGUUAGAAAAACCUUGAACAAAACACCAUAUGAGAUCUGGAAUGGAAGAAAACCAAAAGUCUCAUACUUCAAGGUCUUUAUAUGCAAAUGUUAUGUUCUCCGAACAAGAGGCAACCAAGACAAAUUUGCUCAGAAAUAUGAUAAAGGUAUCCUGGUAGGAUACUCUAGAAGGAGCAAAGCCUACAAAAUUCUUCUCAAAGAAAAACAAAUAAUGAUCGAAUCAUUACACGUUGACUUUGAUGAAUCCACUCAGACAACCAUUAUAGAAGAAGAUGAAAUAGUUCCAGAACCAGAAAUCAUCAUUCCAACUGAAGAAACUACCAAUGUCGAAAUCGAAGUCUUUGAGCCUCCAUCCAACAGGUUGCUCAGAAACCCACAUUCCACUGAUCUAAUCAUUGGUGACCAUCAAGCUGGUGUUAAAACCAGAUCAUCCAUUCAAGGAAACAGUGUUCUUGACUGUUUUGUCUCUCAAAUUGAGCCCAAGAAAGUUGAUGAAGCCCUCGACGACAACUACUGGAUUCAAGCUAUGCAAGAAGAAUUCAAUCAAUUUGAGAGAAAUUAUGUAUGGGAACUAGUUCCAAAACCAAAAGAUACAUCAAUCAUUGGGACAAGAUGGGUAUUCAGAAACAAGCUGGAUGAAGAUGGAACUAUAGUCAGAAACAAAGCUAGACUGGUUGUGCAAGGAUACAAUCAACAAGAAGGAAGCGAUUAUGAUGAAACCUUUGCACCAGUAGCUAGAUUAGAAUCUAUCAGAAUGCUCCUAUCCUUUGCAUGCUACAAGGAUUUCAAAUUAUAUCAAAUAGAUGUAAAGAGUGCAUUCCUGAAUGAAAUAGUCAAUGAACAAGUAUAUGUUAGACAACCCCCCGGAUUCGAAGAUUACAAAAACCCUUAUCAUGUCCUUAAACUUAAGAAAGCCCUCUAUGGUCUGAAACAAGCACCUCGAGCUUGGUAUGAAAGACUAAGAAACUUUCUCAUUUCUCAGGAAUUUAGAAUGGGGAGUAUAGAUAAUACAUUGUUCAUUAAAAAUGUCAAAAGUGACAUUAUUUUAAUCCAAAUCUAUGUUGAUGACAUUAUAUUUGGAUCAACGAUGAUACUUUAUAUAAGAAAUUUUCCAAACAAAUGGAAGACGAAUUUGAAAUGAGUAUGAUGGGAGAGUUGACUUUUUUCUUAGGUCUACAAGUCAAACAGAAGGAGAAUGGAAUAUUCCUAAGUCAAGUCAAAUAUGCUAAGGAAUUGAUAAAGAAAUUUGAUUUGGCUGAAUCUAAAUCUAUGCCAACUCCGAUGAGUUCAACACUUAAAUUGGAUAAAAAUGUUGAAGGUCAAUCAGUAGACAUUAAGAAAUACAGAGGAAUGAUUGGAUCACUGCUAUACCUAACAGCCAGCAGACCAGACAUCAUGUUUGCAGUCUGCUUAUGUGCCAGAUUCCAAUCAGACCCAAAAGAGUCACAUCUCAAAGCGGUUAACAGAAUAAUCAGGUAUAUCAAAGGAACAAUUACACUUGGAUUAUUCUACCCUAAGGACAACUCAUUCACACUGACAACAUACUGUGAUGCUGACUUUGGUGGAUGUAAGACUGACAGAAAAAGCACUAGUGGAACAUGCUUUCUGUUGGGAAGCUCACUCGUAGCAUGGUCAUGUAAAAAGCAAAAUAGUAUUGCUUUAUCCACAACUGAAGCAUAAUAUAUGGCAGCAUCUAAUGCAUACACUCAAAUUUUGUGGAUGAAACAAACAUUAUCCGACUACGAUAUAGCUUUAGAAACAGUAGCUCUUAAAUGUGACAACAAGAGUGCAAUUUGUUUAUCAAAAAACUCUGUGUUACAUUCAAGAUCUAAACACAUUGAUGUCAGACAUCAUUUCCUUAGAGAUCAUGUAGAAAAGAAAAAUAUCUGCCUAAAAUAUAUUUCUACUGAAGAUCAAAUGGCUGACAUUUUCACUAAACCCUUAGAUCAAGAAGUUCAUUCAAAAAUCAGAAGAUCUAUGAGUAUAUGUGAGCUUAGUGAAAUUUGAUUAAUUAUUAGUCAAUGCAUCUCAAGCUUUAGUCUUAAUAUUUAAACUAAGAUCACAUUGACAUGCAUUGAUAUAAAUCUAAGACCUAUAUGCAUGACUAUCGUAAUAUAUAACUCAUGCAAUAAACUAAGUAUAUGCAUGCUAAUUUAAUUGAUCAUAUAAUGUUAUACAUGUACUUGUGCACAAAUAAAAUGAUCUUAUGCAUGACUUAAAACUUUGUAAAGAGCUUAAUUUAAAUGCAUGUCUAUCAUACGAAUGCAUGACUAUUAUAUAUACCAUGUUACUAUAAAUAGUUGCUUACAUGGACAUGCCUAUGGGUUAAAAUAUGCAUAAAAUAAAUAUGUCAUAGCAUAUGCUGAUAACUAUACUUGUAAUCCUACACAUGCUAUUGCACACGUAUGCAAAAUGAAAUAAAAUUACUUGCAUAAUUGACAUGAACAAAAUCUUAUGCAUGAUUUAAACUAUAACACAUGCACUACUCUAUACCAUAUAUGAAAUACUAUUGCAUCUGUUCUUGGUUAAAAUAAACUCUGAAAAACGCGAUCUUCAAAUUACUAUACACAACUUUCGCAAAACCCGGAGAAAGAUCUGAGAAAUCUGCAAGACUUAACACAACGCAAGCCGAGCUACAACACCUGCAAGACUUCGGCAACCACAUCCUCGAACAUUGGAGCACUUGCAACAGAGACAAAAUCUGCCAAAAGGUGUCUUGAGACCACCAAAAGGUAUGCUCUAAAUUGACGAUUAUUCAGCUUACAACUUUCGAUAAUAGAUAAAGACAUGAUGAGACAAAACUCAGCAUUAUCUAUUAUCGAGUAAAAUUAAGAAUCUUGAUCUUGCUAAGAUACAAGUCACUAAAGUACAAGCCUUGCUAAGAUCCUAGCUAGCUCUUAGAUAAUCAAUUUCUCACUAAGUAUUAAAGACUUAAGAGUAGAUAUGAUUCUCAAAUAGUUCAUCAUCAAGAAUCAUCAGAAAUCCAACCAUUAAAUAAAUAUGAUUAACUCCAUAUCUUCAAGAUCUUUUAGAGAUUCAAAUAUUUAAGGGUUGUAUGGAUAAACCAGAAACUUCAAGGGCCUAAACAUAAAUUAUUUAUGAAGUUUCUAAGUUUAAAAUGAUUCACUAAAACUUAAGGGUCAAAAUGAUAUCUUUACAGUGAAUAUAAAUUUAUGUAAAACUACAGGGACUUAGAAUUAAUAUUUACAUGAAGUUUUAAUCGAAAAAUUACUUAGAAAUAUUUAAUACUUCCAAGGUUUAAAAUGAAAUUUUUUAAGUAUUAAUCUAAGUAUUCAUUAUAACUUCAAAGGGAUUAAAUGAAAUUUUUUUAAGUGAAGUCUUCCUACUAAGGCUUUAAGGACUGAAAUGAAAAUUUUAAAUUUUUUAAAAACUUAAUGAAUAUUUACAUGAUUAUAUUUGUCACUAAGACAUAGAUUCAAAAAUUUUAAAUGCUCAAUUUCUUCUUAAAGCAAUUAGUGAAUAUUAUGGAUUUAUACAUAUCAUUCACUAAUAUCUUAUGGAUUAUAACAUUAUAAAAUCUUUAAUCCAUACAUGUUAAGAUCAUCUUCAUCCAUAACACACACAUGGAUUAUUAUUCAUUGCAUGAUCUUAACACAAGGCAAUUUAAAUUAUCAUAUCAUACUUGUCUUAUAAUGUAUAUCAAAAUUGGCUUCAAUCCAAUAUUUUAUCAAUGAGCAUAAAUUACAUGUUAUUUCUCCUAUAUGAUUGACUAACACUCUUAUAAGCAAGACGUCACAUUUGGUCAACCACACAAAUCGAAUUUGUGAUCAAAGCUCAAUAAGGUAUGAAAUUUUAUUUUCUCCACAAAUUAGAUAUGUCCUAUCAUUAAGGGGGAGAUACUUCACAAGUAUCUAUUUUUAACUUUGUCGAUACCUUAUUGUUUUAAGGGGGAGAAAUCAUGCAUGCAUGAUCCUCGGCUUUUAAAUUGAAUAUUAUGGGUCAGUAAUUCAGGGGGAGCGUGCUCAUAAGGGUAAAAUAGAAUAUUGACUAGACAUGAGUUAAAACAUAUAUGUCAUCGACAAAGGGGAAGAAUGUAGAAUCAAAAUUGUCGAUAUAAGAUUAUAUUUUAAUCAUGUCAAUUUAAACCCUAAAUACACUAUUAAUCAAUAGGGGGUAAAUAAGUCAAUUGAUAUUAAACCUAACUCCAGUUAAUUAAUUAAUCAUUUGAGUUAAGAGUUUAAGUCAAAGUUAAAAGUCAAAUUGGGAGAAUUGCAUUUCCACUUUGAAUAUUAUUAUUUGGAAUAAUUACAUGUUUACCUUGAAUAUUAUUAUUAUUAUCUUUUGACACUUUAUUCAAGGUAUAAUAUUCCAAGAGGACAAAAUACUAUUCAUGGUUGAAUUAUUCAAAGAUAAGAUUCUCCAACAAACUAUAUCCAAGAAAAAGCACUAUUCAAGAUAAGAUCAAAAACAAAGCUUGGAUUUUUGUGAAAAAUUAAGGAGUCAUCCAUUGAAGAUCCAAGGGUGGACAUUGAGUGGCCAAGGCUAUAAAUAGAAAGGUAAACCCCUCAUUUUCACUCACUACACUAUAAGCAAACUCAAGAGCUUUCACUCCAUACUUGCCCACACGUUUUUGCCUUCAAGCUUCCAAGCUUUCAAGUGCUCAAGUGUCCUAGCUUUCCAAAGCUUCAAAAGCUCUCCAACUUCUUUUUCUAAUCUUCUUGUUCAUCUUUACAAGUAAGAAGUGUUGUUUGCUUUAAUAUUUCACUCCUAUAAUCACCUCUUGUGUGUAUCCACUUUGGUUGAGAGGGUUGUCUCAAUAGUACCAAAGUGUGAGAGAAGGUUUUCGAGCUCAACCAUAAAGCUCUAGUUUGGUUUUAUAGAGUUUCCGGGAAAACUCUUACGUCGAAUCUACCUUGAAAGAUUUCUAGGUUUUUAAGAGUUCCUUGAUACUCUAAGGUACUAACUUACCCGUAAAAGUUAGAGGUUCUUAAGAGUGCUCUCGAUACUCUAAGGUGUGAGUCUAUCCGUAAAAGACUGGUCCCUAAGCGAAGUAGCUUUAAAGCUUAGAGAGGUUUUUAAGAGUUUCUUGAUACUCUAAGGUACUAACUUACCCGCAAAAGUUAGAGGUUCUUAAGAGUGCCCUUGAUACUCUAAGGUGUGAGUCUACCCGUAAAAGACUGGUUCCUAAGCGAAGUAGCCUUAAAGCUUAGAGAGGUUCUUAAGAGUUUCCUUGAUACUCUAAAGUUUUAUCAUAACCUUUAGGCGAGUGAAUUCCGACAGUUGGUCGGGACUGGAUUAGCCCUUGUUUGGGUGAACCAGUAUAAAUCUCUUGUGUUGUUCUUUGUUAACUUUAAUUUUUAUCUUUCAUCUAAAAACAACUAAACAACACUUAAUUGAAAAAAGGAUCCCUCUUCCAGUUAUCUGAUCAAAUACAGAGGUUGACUACUUUACGCAGAUCCCUCAUCCAGUUAUCUGGUCAACUAUCUGAGGUUAUAUUCAUUGCUUUAAAUCUUUAUUCAUAUAUUUGUUCAAGCAUUUACUUAUCAUAUAUAUAUCCAGUUAUCUGGUCGUAUCUUGCUUAUCAAAUAUAUAUCCAGUUAUCUGGUCAUUUACUCUAUAAUAUAACUUGUGUUUAUAAUAUAACUUAGUAUUCAUAUACUAUAGUUGUUUAUAAAACACCAUCUGAAAAGUUGACUACGUAUUCAUAUACUGUAGUAAACUUCAAG